rnacentral:rRNA from 1 species
AACUAACGCUGGCAGUGCGUCUUAAGCAUGCAAGUCAAACGGGAUGUAGCAAUACAUUCAGUGGCGAACGGGUGAGUAACGCGUGGAUAAUCUACCUACGAGAUGGGGAUAACUAUUAGAAAUAGUAGCUAAUACCGAAUAAGGUCAAUUGAGAUGUCAAUUGAUGAAAGGAAGCCUUUAAAGCUUCGCUUGUAGAUGAGUCUGCGUCUUAUUAGCUAGUUGGUAGGGUAAGAGCCUACCAAGGCUAUGAUAAGUAACCGGCCUGAGAGGGUGAACGGUCACACUGGAACUGAGAUACGGUCCAG